rnacentral:rRNA from 1 species
AUUGAACGCUGGCGGCAGGCCUAACACAUGCAAGUCGAGCGGAUGAGUGGAGCUUGCUCCAUGAUUCAGCGGCGGACGGGUGAGUAAUGCCUAGGAAUCUGCCUGGUAGUGGGGGACAACGUUUCGAAAGGAACGCUAAUACCGCAUACGUCCUACGAGAGAAAGUGGGGGAUCUUCGGACCUCACGCUAUCAGAUCAGGCUGGGUCGGGUUAGCUAGUUGGUGAGGUAAAGGAUCACCGAGGCGACGAUCCGUAACUGGUCUGAGAGGAUGGUCAGUCACACUGGAACUGAGACACGGUCCAGACUCGUACGGGAGGCAGCAGUGGGGAAUAUUGGACAAUGGGCGAAAGCCUGAUCCAGCCAUGCCGCGUGUGUGAAGAAGGUCUUCGGAUUGUAAAGCACUUUAAGUUGGGAGGAAGGGCAGUAAGUUAAUACCUUGCUGUUUUGACGUUACCAACAGAAUAAGCACCGGCUAACUUCGUGCCAGCCGCCGCCGUAAAAC